rnacentral:rRNA from 1 species
UACGUAGGGAGCAAGCGUUGUCCGGAAUCAUUGGGCGUAAAGCGCACGUAGGCGGACUCUUAAGUCAGGGGUGAAAUCCUGGAGCUCAACUCCAGAACUGCCUUUGAUACUGGGAGUCUUGAGUUCGGGAGAGGUGAGUGGAACUGCGAGUGUAGAGGUGAAAUUCGUAGAUAUUCGCAAGAACACCAGUGGCGAAGGCGGCUCACUGGCCCGAUACUGACGCUGAGGCACGAAAGCGUGGGGAGCAAACAGG